GGCGCCCGGGACUUGGGGGGGACUUGACGCUGAGCUGAGCACAGCCGCCCGCCCGGACCCUUGUCCGAGGCGCCAGCUUGUUCGAGGCCUCAGCACGUUCUGGAAUCCUGGAAGGGCAAAGAGAUUCGGAGUCUGCUUUAUUUACGGCAGCGCCCCUCGCUCUGCGGUGGGAAGACUUCUCGAAGACCCUGAUUUGUGGAUUAGUUAGACGCCCGGGUGUGCGCGUGGCCCCGCGGCGGCCCCUACGGGCAGGUGUGAGAGGACGCCCGGCCCGGCCGUGCUGGGUGAUGGACAGGACGCGCCUCUCACUGUCCGCGGGCCCGGGGCUUUGUCACUGGGGUCAGCGGCGUCUGCCUGGAGAGCCUGGGGUGCAGAAGGCCCAGGAGCAGCUGCGGAGGACGGGGAGGAAGGAGGACGGCAGGGGCGGACAGUCCCGUUCAGCAUGAAAGAGUGGAGAAGGGAGCAGAAGAAUUCUGGAGCUCCAGGAAGGACAACUGCUGGAGGAACGGGCAGCUCUAUCCAGUCACUGAGGCCACUCCAGAUUCUCUCUCCAAAUUUGUCUUCUCUAAUGAGACUUUGGACUCCUCCCUCUUAAAGUAGGGAUUUUCUGCUUUGCAUAAUGUAAUUUUAAUUGAUUGCAUAUGACUGUACCCAAUUUCAGAGUAACAAUAAAAUUCUGUAUGUUGAACAAUCA